rnacentral:lncRNA from 1 species
UCAUAUCUCUAGAAAGUAUAUUUAUACAAAUAUUUUCGCUAUAUUAUUUUAUAACAAAUGCAGAAAAUUCAAAUGAUGCACAGGAUAACCUAAACUGGACGAGAAUUGCUUUUAGGUAAGGAGCUUAUGUUAAUAAUAUAAAGAUGAUUGCAUAUAGUAAAUAUGUUUAUGCAUGAGAGUAUAACGUGCACAAUGUAUAACUUAAAACAAGUAGGAUCUACAUUUUUUUUUAAAUGUCCUGCAACAAGUCAGAAAUAUGGCAGUUGGUGUUUGUUUUGUUACAUUUCGGUGUUCUCUUUUUCCCCUCUUUUAGUUAAUCAUGUGUUUCCCUCGGUUUUAUUUAGUAAGCCGGAUUUGUUUUCGAUUUAUGACUCUUGAACAACGGUAUACUACUGCCUUUAUUUAUAAAAAUAAAUAUCUUAUUUCAAAUGAAUCUUUAAGACACUGCUUUUGAAAAGUCUUUUCCCUACAAUACCAGAAUCGUUAGUUUGAAACUUUUUCUCGAAUAAAACUUACCAAAGAUACCAGGCUCCAGUUUUGUUUACAAUAAAUGUCACUUCAGUGAAGCUGUUGGCCAAAUUAUAUAAAAUCUAAAACUAUAACUACUGUUUAUAAUCUGACCAAAACAAGAAGAAGUUAAGAUAAGCCCAAUCCGGACAAAUAAUCAGAGCUUUGCAUAAAUAAGAAAUACUUUUGAAGGAUUUCAAGAAUUUUGCAUCAGAAAAUUCUAAUAAAAAAAUCCACAUUUCCAUACCAGAAUCAAAGUACUAGUUACUUAGCUAGGGAUAUCCUCGGAGACUGACGACAAACGGCAGCAUUUAAAAGAAAAUUGGAUCAUGCGAAAAUGUUUUCUCGUUAUCAAACAAAAUAGAUUAAUGUUGUUCACGGGUGAAAUUACAUGAUCUAAGUUAUGCACGUAAAGUUUUUUUUUAAUCAAAUACCUUUAAUAUUACUUAAAAAAAAAUAAGGAUUGAGAGUAUUCUACAAUAAGCGUGAAAACCCUUUGUAAGACUGCAAAUUUAAAUCGUGUCGGUUAGAAAAUCUACUAAUCGGUUAAUUCAAGAUACUGCGCUGGAACCUAUCUCCGGAUGAAAGAGUCAUCUACAAUACAUAGCAUGAAAUAAGCGUUAUGUUAUCUUUAAUGACUAUAUUUUGAAAAUGAAAUGCAAUAAAAAAAGGAUUACUGGUAAUAAUUUAACUGACUGCACCAAAUGUGCAUUUUGAUAAGAAUGCAUGGAGGAUUGAGGAAUGAUUUAUUCAUACAUUAAACAAUUAUGUUAAACAUUUUUUUCAAAUGAUUACAGUGUCCUAUCAAUGUUAACAAAUGUCUAAUUUGAAAAGAACAUAAACAUGAGCAUUAUGCAUUCUUUCCUCUUUCACAAUGGUGCAGUCAGUAAAUAGUACCAGUAGUAAUAUCUGUAUUUAUAUAUAUAUAUGUCAUCAUUUUAUUUCAGAAAUGACAUUGACAGCAGAAAGUAUCCAGAACUUUUUGGAAGUGAUUGUUUCGCUUCGCUCUUUUCCAUUAUUUUGUUUCCACUUCGCUAUUGUAUUGUUAUAUCCGGUAUGGGAAAAAUGGACAACCGCCUUUGAUAUUAAACUAGUGAGUAAACGAAGAUAAAAACAGUAUCUAUUCAGUGAAGCUGGUUAACCUUAAAAUGAUAUAGCGAUCUCCUUAUUUGGUGUACAUUUACAAACAUUAUGUGCUACAUGAUACCGAAUGUCUUCUUUCUAUUUGUCUUAGUCACAAUAGUGAUCUGAUGGCGUGUCAUUAUACAUUGCUCAGCAAGAAUCUUAACAAACAUGAUUAUAGCUGACUAUGCGAUAAGGGCUUUGUUCAUUGUUGAAGGCCGUAAGGUGACCUAUAGCUCUUAAUUUCUGACAUUUGGUCUCUUGUUGAGAGUUUUCGUAUUGGCAAUCAUACCAUAUCUUUUUGUUAUAACGUUUAAGUUAAAUUUCCUAGAUAGAGGAAAACAACUGGAAUGUUCCCGCGUAAGGUAUUUCAUUGUUAUAAAUUUAGAAAAUAUUUGUUUCUCAUUUAAGGAAAGUGGUUUUAGCAUGAUAAGCUGAUAAAUAAGAUCUAUAAUGUACAUUUAUAACUUUUCUUAACUAAUUGGAUGGUAUUGAGCUAUGUACUCUAGAUGUAGUUUGGUCUAUUGUAGAAACCGUAUUUCAACCUCUAAAUGCAUUUCGUUUAUGCAAGGUUACUGCCUACGCAUGUUCAUCAUAUAUAACUACUUAUUUAUUAUAUGGUCAUUUACAACUCAUGGGGGUAUCAAAAAGAUAACAGUUUCAUUAUGUGGUAUCAGCUGAAAUCGAAAAUAUUGUUUAUUUAUUCCUUAUAUAUUUGCAUGUAGUUUAAAGGCUUUGAAGGAGUCGACUGUCGCUGUAACAGUUGUUGUUGGUGAACUGUAAAAUAUAUUAUGUUGAUUCUUGCUAUCCCAGUCUAUGUGUUAUUGUUUUUACUUUUAACUUGUUGUUCUGGAUAAAGGAGCUAUUAUAUUUGCUACAAUAAAGACGUUUAUUGCAAUAAGCAAAAUUAUAUUAUAGCAUGUUAAAAUUGCAACAUUAUCAUGUGAAAGCAACAUGAAAGUUAUUAUGAUAUUGUAAGAUAUUGUGAUAUAAAACAGCUGAACACACAAUAAACAUUAUAACACUGUAUUCAUGAAAAAACAAACCAAAUAUCUAUGUAACUACGUUAGUGUGAAAGUUCUCAGUUUUCAAUUGUCACGCAAAAAGGACAUUAAAUUGUAAGCAAUUAUUUUAUUUGAACUUUUAGUAAUAAAUACAAUGUGUUUUUAUUUGGCCGUGUAUAAUGAUAUCUUAAAAAGUCUAUACUGUAUAUAUAAUAAUGCUAGACAACAAUUUCUCUCUACAUAGGGUAAUAUUUACCUGGCAAGUUUUUAUGUCAACCCAAUAUGUAUUUUUAUUUUUUUAUGCAAUUUAUAAGAUAUCAAUCUUAUCACUAAAGAUUUAUCAGUCAGAAUGAAAACCUACAAUGAGAGCCAGGUUCUAACGAUACAUUAUUUUUUACCAAAUUUUACUGAAAUGCUGAAGACUUCAAAUCAGGUAUAUGAAGAUUCCAAUCUUUUAGACUUCCCAUUUUUUAAGAGUAGUAUACCCUCUGUCCUAUCAUAAAACGUUUGUGUAUGUCGGAUACGUACUUACAUGUCGACAUUUUAUGGAGUUGACUUAUAGGACUCCUAACGUUGAAAAUGCUUUAGUUUGGUCAUUUGAAAACUUAUAGGACUCCUAACGUUUAAAAUGCUUUAGUUUGGUCUUUUGAAAACUUAUAGGACUCCUAACGUUGAAAAUGCUUUAGUUUGGUCAUUUGAAAACAUGAAUAAAAUCAUCAGUACACAAAUUGUACUGUCACCAUCACAACGAGGUUGACCGAACCCAACUUUCAUUACACGAAAGACAUCCAUUUUUAGAUUUAGAUCUUUAGAGACAAGAAGAUUUGUAAAUUGACAGUUCACUUUUGUAAUUUGUUCACCGAUUUAAAUUUUUUCUAUCCAUGCAUACAUAGCAAGAUAAACAUACUCUGUCGACAUACCCUGACUCGGUCUGUUUGCUAUUCCUUAGAUUAUAUUAGGCUUCCUGGGUCUUAGAUUGUAAUUUCAGAAUUAAUUACUUUUUUGACAUUGGUAUUUGAUGUUGAUUCUUAUUCAUACACAAGCAACACAUAAAUUUUUUUUAUCCGACUUCCCACCUUCACGAUAGGCUCUAGAUACUAUAGUUUCUAUAGAUUGCAGAACUCGAUUUCAAUCACAAACAUUUAAUUGGUGCCGUUUUGAAAAAAGUGCAGGUGUCAUCUAUCUUAUCCUGGUAUACCUGAUAUACUUUUCCUGUGGAGAAAAGAUUGCUUUAUUAUUUUGAGAUAAUGGUCUCAUAUUUUAAACAAUACAAAAAAUGACUGCAAAUGGAGAUUUGAAUACAUUAACCACUUAACUUUCUUCGGACUUGUGGUCUUGAUUUUGUAUGUUUUUCUUUUUCAGUUGAUGACACUUCAUAAUUUUGGUUGCAGCCUUGUAUCCGCGUAUACGUUCUUUGGGUUUUUAAAUUGUUUUUCUGUUAUUGAAUCAACAUUUAAACUUGGACCAGAGCAAUGUCUGUUACCAUAUUUCAAGGUGUAUUGGAUUUCAAAAAUGUUGGAGUUAUUUGACACAGUGGUUAUGAUUCUACGCCAUAGACGAAAACAAAUCAGUUUUCUUCAUGUUUAUCAUCAUAGUACCAUGAUGUUACUGGCAGAUGCUGGAUUCCAUCUUUUUCCAUGGCCACCAAUGUCUGUUUACUUUGCAACCAAUUCAUUGGUUCAUUUCAUAACAUAUCUGAUUUAUGGAUUAUCGACCUUAUUCCCCGAGAAAUUGUUGUUUUGGAGAAAGUUGAAUACAAAGAUGGAAAUUCUUGAGCAUUUAGUGCUAUUCGUUCAUGUUACAUAUGGAUAUUUUAACAAAGGCUUUUGUGUAUAUGGUGUGCUGUUUGUAAUUACUCUGUUAUCCGUAAAUGUCUAUAACGUUUUCUUUGCCUCAUCAAAACCAGUGAAAACUUAAUAACAGUUUUGGGUUUUUUUUUAAACAAAUAUAACUUUAUUGAGUUAUUGUGCAUUAUUCCAAUGCUGUUUUGUACAAAUUUACAAAAAAAGUUUAUUUUUUGCCAUGCAAACACGAAGAUUAACGAAUCUGUAAUUUCAUAUCAAUGCAUGAUCCUAAAACUUCUCCAGUUCUUCAUAUUUACAAGAUACCCAAUUCGCAAGGACUUAAAUAUCUAUGAACAAUUCUCAGCAUAUUCAUCAUAUUAAACCAACUUAAAAGAGGUCAAUACAAACAAGAAAUUGACGUAAAUACAAACAAUAAUAAACUACAAACGAACAAUUGAAGGAGUGGAAGGGGACGUGUUACGGUACUUAUCUAUCCCAAAUUUAUGUAUUUAGUUUGAUGUUUUAUUUGUAAUUCUCAUCGGAUUUUGUCAAAUUUGUUGACGUCUUUUCUAUUAUAUUUAUGUGUUAUGGUAAAUAAAAUUAAUCACCUCCUUCCUUUAUUAGAUUUGAUUUUGUUCAACGUAAUCUGAACGAUGUUUUACGUUUGAGGUUCAAUUCAAAACAAACCGGACAUAUAUGUAAUAUAGGUAAUUGCUAUUAAUAAGUAUUGCAAUGUGCAUUGUGUUUAAAUGUAAUAUCAGUAUCUAGUUCUAUUGUAAUCUUACAUCAAUCAUAAUUAUAUCUUAUUUUUGAGAUAUAGUUUUUCAAAUGUGACGUCAUUUUUGUGCUGUUUCAGAAAUUCAAAUGUCUGCGUGACGCAAUUUUUGUGCCUUUUCACCACUUCGUAUGUGACGUCAUUUUUAUGACUUUUUGCGUUGAGGCCUGGACUAAGUCGGGUGUGUCUAUUUUCUAUAUUUUUUGGUCUUUGUAUUAUGUAUUCGGGUUUUGUUUUCUGUAAACCUGAUGCCUUUUGUUAUCUAUUAUUCAUGUGUUUCUUUGCCUAAUACGUUCUCCUAAUUUUUUGUAUUGAAGUCCUGUAAUAUUAUGUUGUCAUUUUAAUGUUAUAUUUAACAUUGCCUUUAAAGUGUGAGGUUUGGCAUGCCACAAAACCAGGUUCAACCUAUAAUUUUUUUCUUUAAAAAUGUCCUGUACCAAGUCAGGAAAAUAGCCAUGGUUAUAUCAUAGUUCGUUUCUUUGUGUGUAACAUUUUUACGUUGUGUUUCCGUUGUGUCGUUUGUUUUCUCUUAUAUUUAAGUGUGAAUUCACAUUACUAUAAGACGUGUCACGGUACUUUUCUAUCCCAAAUUCAUGUAUUUGGUUUUGAUGUUAUAUUUGUUAUUCUCAUAGGAUUUUGUCUAAUGCUUAGUCCGUUUCUGUGUGUGUUACAUUUUAAUGUUGUAUCGUUGUUCUCCUCUUAUAUUUAAUGCGUUUCCCUCAGUUUUGGUUUGUUACCCCAUUUUGUUUUUUUGUCCAUAGAUUUACGGUAUACUACUGUUGCCUUUAUUCUUAACCCUAGAGAAAACACCUUAUCGCUAUGUUUCCGCCAUUACUGGACAUCACACAGGUUCCCGUAAAAUGUUGACGUCAUAAUACAAAAUAUCUGACGCCACAAUGGAAAAGUGAUUGUUGUAUGACGUCAAUAGUUCAAGCGGGACAGAUUCUCCGGUCGGCUGGGAAUAGCGAUAAGGUGUAUACUCAUGUUCAGUCUAAAGUCAGAAAUCUCGUUGCAGCGACACUUGUGUUCGCAUUUCAUUGAUUGUAACAUCACCUACUGUAAAAUGCCACCGAAUUUGCAAUGGGUAACCCACACGGUGCAACUAGUGAAGCAGAAACUGUUAACUCUUACAUGGAUCAUCUGGGUUCAUCCUGGUUUUUGACGGAUUCGUAUUGCUCAGUCUUGAGUGUACCGUGGACUGUUUUGUAGACUAUAUCAUCUCCUUCUUUGUCCUUGGUGUUGUCUUUUUUAUUGUCACCUUAUUGUACUCUUUAUUUAAUUUCCAAUUGAUGUAACCACAAUCCCGUCCUCUUUUUCCCGAAUGUGACCUAAUGAAUUUAUAUUUUUAAUAAAAUUUAUGUCCCCAGACUAAUUUUCCUAGUAAAUCAUGUCCAUGUCAUUAAUAUUCCUAGGUUAAAACGCCAAUGUCCCUUAUUUAAAUAGGAAAAAUAUUAAUGAAUUAAAUCAUUUACAUUUAAACAAUUGAAAUUUAAAUGUUAUGUUAAUAUUGUUUAAGAGUUGUGUAUUUAUAUUUUUAGUAAAAUUAAUGUCCCCAGACUAAUUUCCUAGAAAUUCAUGAUCAUUUCCAUGUCAUUAAUUUUCCUAAGUUAAUGCAUAAGAGUUAUGUAUUUACAUUUCUAAUAAAAUGUAUUUCACCAGACUAAUUUUCCUAGGAAAUCAUUGCCAUUGACUUGAUUAACUAGGGAAAAUAGUCUGUGGACAUACAUUUUUCUUUAUUAUUUCAAGAAGCCUAAAACACUCCCGUUACUGAUUCUCGUUCUGUUUUGUAAAGACUAGUUGCAAUAAUCAUGGACAUUGCUAGCCAUAGACUAUUCAAACCUGUAUCGACUACAUCCAAUAAUAAAGAACAACGUUAUUUUUUUAAGAUAGAAUUCGCCAAUAAAGGUUUAGAUGCUGUAAAUAUUAGCAAUAUUUUCCAUCAAAAAUCUGUACAAAAAACAAUACCUGAUUACUUCAAAAAUAAAGCUACACCUGUUAUUUCUUAUACUUACACCAAGUCUAUUGCAUCCAAGAUUUCAACCACAAGAGAGUUUUAGAGGCCUUUAACCUCAAAGAUACGAAAUCCAAGCCUCCGGAUUGAUCAUGUGCAUCGUCACAAUACAAUUGUAGUCCAGCUGGUCAUGUUAUUACUGGUGACCUUGGCAUCGUUACCAAUGAACAACUUAGAAAGUUGUUAGCCAAGGGACCAAAAUAUAAAAUCCCCCAGCCAAUCAACUGGAAAAAGAAUUUCAAAUUACUGAUGGAUGCAGUUGAGGACUAUGCAAGAAAAUGGGUAAAGCGCGAACCAGACGAACCAGAACUGGAAACUUUGUCUGAAUGAAUCAAAGCUAUUCGAUCAUGCAUUCAGAGGUGCAUACAAAAACUACGAUGUAAUAUGAGUACAAGAGUUACUAACCCUUUCAAGAAUCCGGAUGUUGUGGAUGCUUUAUCCGCUUUGCAUGACAAAUAUGUCGUUGUUCCAGCAGAUAAAGCCUCCAAUAAUAUUAUCUUCAUAUGUAAAAAACAUUAUUUGCAAUGUCUCACAACAGAGCUUGGAAUAAAUAAAACUACUGGUAACCCUACAUAUUCUUUAACAUCAUUUACCAAGGACGAAAUUUUUACAAAAUCAUAAAUCUGUCCUUUUUUCUUUUUGUAUCAACAUCGAAGAAAACGAAGAAAAUUUACCUUCCUUAUACUGGAUACCUAAAUUACACAAAACUCCAUAUAAAGAACGAUACAUAGCUGGUUCUUCAAAAUGUUCGACUAAACAUUCUAAAGUACUGACUACUAUUCUUUCUACAGUUAAAGAUGGGCUUCAAAAAUAUUGUGAUGAGAUAUAUUCUACCAGUGGUGUUAACCAAAUGUGGAUUCUCAAAAAUUCGAAAGAUCUACUGCUUAAUCUUCGAUCACAAUCUUUGCAAUUUUGUAGCAACAUAAAGACUUUUGAUUUUUUCUACGCUAUACACUACUAUUCCCCAUGCUCAGUUGAAAGAUCGACUUCACCAUCUCAUAAAACAGAGCUUUUUUUUUUUUUAUAAAAAUGGGAAUCGUAAUAAAUAAAUAGAUACAAAUUUCUGGUUUUGGGUUACACUAAUUCAUAUUUUGUCAAGAAUCACACUGAAUCUUCAAGAAAAUAUAUUGAAGAUGAUAUUAUCAAAAUGCUGGACUUUUUGGUCGACAAUAUAUUUGUUGAGUUUGGAGGAUUUAUAUUUCAACAGACAGUCGGUAUUCCAAUGGGUACUAAUUGUGCACCCCUACUGGCCGAUUUGUUUCUGUACUUGUAUGAAGCAGAAUUCAUUCAGAACCUUCUAAAAGACAAAAACAAAAAGCACCUUGCGAAAUUCUUUAAUUUUACUUUCCGAUAUUUUGAUUAUGUUCUAUCAUUGAAUAACCCAUAUUUCAACCAAUACUUACAUCUCAUAUAUCCCAGCGAACUUGUACAGUAGCAAAGAAUGAUGCUGGAAAAAUAGCUGCAGAAGCUGUUGUCAAUGUAGGUGGUAGGAUGGCAUAUUGUAAGUUGUCUGAAAUUAAGAGAAGAACAACACAAUGGAAUACUGAACCAGACAACAGCCAAAUACAAAGACAAUCACGUAUGGGAGAACAGGUGAUCAACAACAAUGUUCUCAGGGUGUAAAGAGAUAUUAUUGAUGGCUUUGUAGGCGAUGUCACAGGCGUGGAUAUUAAAAGUUUUGUCGACACUGGAAGAUUAAGUUCGGAUUCACGUAUAGUACAGGCAUAUAAUCAGUCUCUCUCCGAAGAGUUCAUGAAUCUCAUACGAAAUCGAAUGGUAGUACACCUAGAUGAAGACUAUCUAGAUAAGAAUUCUAUAAAUUAUGGCCAACACAUAGAAAUAUUACGAGGCAGCGUUGGUAUGUAUAUAAGGUCUAUAUAUGAAAGAUGGACUAAAUUUGAAUGCAUUCGGCAUUUCCCCUUGGAGAUGCAAAUCAUUACAAUUGUAGAGGAUUUUAUCGUUGGUAAUUAUUUUGUAGACAAACAAGCUUUGGAAAUUUGGUUACGGAAACGAGGUAAUGAUUGUAGUACCUAUGAAGGAGGUCACAAUGAAGUUGUAAAAAUGUUUCGGCGUCUAAUCUAUCAUGGAAUCAACAAUGACAUCAUUCAGUGGGUAAAAGAGAUGGUUGAUGCUGCAUAUGAUGCGUUCACUUGUAAUUCGAAUUCGAUUCGCAUUAACUAAUUCGAAUUUGUUUAAUUCGCAUUCGAAAGAUUAACGUCCAAACGUAAAAUUUAGUACGAAUUGCAAUGCGCUUUACUGUCCGAAUGACGUUAACUUUUAAUUCGCAUUAUCAAUUAAUUAAUUUUAAAUUAAUUCGAAUUACAAUUUAGAAAGGGUCUACACCACAGUUUAAUUCGAAUUAAAGUAAAUUAACUAAUUCGUAUUAACGAAAAUGCAUUUCUAAUUCGAAUUAAAACAAGAACUAUCUUUAAAAAAGAUAUCCGACGUAUUUAAAUUUGAGUAUAUGUUUAAAACUAUCAUUUCGAUGACCUUCAGAAGCACAAUGACUUAAUGAUGCAGGACCUCUUUAAUUAAAUCUCCAUCUGAAUGUAACUACAAGAAGGCGAUUGCAGUGCACUGAAAAACUGCAUAGUUUGACACAAUGUGUCCUAGGUGGUAACGCCCGUUCACUACCUCCAUCUUGUGAACAACAAUGCUCUAACUAUCUAAAAAUCAAUGAAUUACCAACAAAAGAACGUUACAAAUUGUUUUGUGAAUAUUCCGAUUAUAUUUAGAUGAGUGAUUUACCAUUUAAAUAACGUUUUCUCUGUUUAUGUUCAGUAUUUUCGGUCCUCGUAUCUUUCUGUUUACAUUCACCAAAACCCCGCGUAAAUCUCACAUGCGUAGGUGCGUUCUAAAAGUCAUGUACGUUCGUACAACAAAGUUUACAUUAAAAAUUAUAUAAUUGUCCCGAAUAAACAGCUGUCAUGGAUGCACAGAGUUAUUGGAGAAACAAUUAUUUUAAUAAAAAUAUAAAUCUUUGUAAGAUCUAGUUCAAAUAUUUAUAGUUUUUCCCUUGCUUUCCAUCACGAUAUAAUUAACGAGACGUUUUUCAAACACAACCAAAUCACCCACCAUGACAGCAUUUUGUCCAAUCACAGAAAGGAUUUUCGAGCAUGCGUAUUCUGUUGCCAUAGUGAAGCGUCCUUAAGUUCAAAGAGCACAAACCGAAACUACAGACUACGUCGGAAAAAGAAGAGUGUGUGAACGCGAUUAGCGAAUUCGAUUCGAAUUAGAUGUACGUGUGAACGACGCAUAAAAAAAAAAAUGUUUUAGAGAUUUUAUUAGUUGUUGGGUUCAUACAGAUACAGUUAACAUGACUAUUUUAAACUUUAGAUAAAAAUCUUCAUUAUAAUAUCCACCCGGACUCGGUCAGUUUGCUGUUUUUCAGAUUAUAUUAAGGUGGGUCUUGGAUUGUAAUUUCAAAAUGAAUGACUUUUUUGAUAUUGGUAUUUAAUGUUGAUUCUUAAUUAAUUUGGCUCGUUUAAUUUUCAUAAAAUUUUGUCAAAGUAUUUACUUUGACCCUUUAACGAAAAUAUAAAAAUUUCAAAAAUUUUGAACCAACCUCUUUGUCAGAAUAUUACACUGGUUAUAUAGCAGUUUGACAAACACCAAUUUUGAUCAUUGAGAAGCUUAAUAUUCCCUUUACAACACAACGUAAUUAAAACGUUAAGCUGACUUUACAGAGCUAUCUCCCUGUAGUGUUUGGUACCACCUUAAUCCGACUUCACACCUUAACGAUGGGCUCUAGUUAUAUAGUGUCUAAAAUUUGCAGGACUCGAUUGCAAUCAAAAAUAUUUCAUUGGUGCCCUUUUGACAAAAGUGAAGGUGUCUCCUAGCAUAUCAGGGUAUACCAUGAAGACCACUUUUUCUGUGGAGAAACUAUUGCUCUAUUAUUUUGAGAUAAAGGUCUAAUAUUUUAUACAAUAUCUAAAAAUGAAUGCAAAUGGAGAUUUGAAUACACUAACCACUUUUUGGAAUUUUGAAUCCUCAAUGCUCUUCAACUUUGUACUUGUUUGGCUUUAUAAAUGUUUUGAUAUGAGCGUCACUGAUGAGUCUUAUGUAGACGAAACGCGCGUCUGGCGUACAAAAUUAUAAUCCGGUACCUGAUAACUAUUUACACCACUGGGUCGAUGCCACUGCUGGUGACGUUUCGUCCCGAGGGAUCACCAGCCCAGUAGUCAACACUUCGGUGUUGACAUGAAUAUCAAUAAUGUGGUCAUUUUUAUAAAUUUCCUGUUUACAAAACUUUGAAUUUUUCGAAAAACUAAGGAUUUUCUUAUCCCAGGCUUAGAUUACCUUAGCCGUAUUUGGCACAACUUUUUGGAAUUUUGAAUCCUCAAUGCUCUUCAACUUUGUACUUGUUUGGCUUUAUAAAUGUUUUGAUAUAGCGUCACUGAUGAGUCUUAUUAGACGAAGCGCGUCUGGCGUACAAAAUUAUAAUCCUGGUACCUUUGAUAACUAUUUACACCACUGGGUCGAUGCCACUGCUGGUGGACGUUUCGUCCCCGAGGGUAUCACCAGCCCCAGUAGUCAACACUUCGGUGUUGACAUGAAUAUCAAUAAUGUGGUCAUUUUUAUAAAUUUCCUGUUUACAAAACUUUGAAUUUUUCGAAAAACUAAGGAUUUUCUUAUCCCAGGCAUAGAUUACCUUAGCCGUAUUUGGCACAACUUUUUGGAUUUUGAAAUCCUCAAUGCUCUUCAACUUUGUACUUGUUUGGCUUUAUAAAUGUUUUGAUAUGAGCGUCACUGAUGAGUCUUAUGUAGACGAAACGCGCGUCUGGCGUACAAAAUUAUAAUCCUGGUACCUUUGAUAACUAAUUAUACCGGCGCCACACAUCAGCGUAUAGCUCGGACGUACGCCGAGCGUGUUAAAAAAUCAUGUACGCUGCCAAUACGCUUGUAAUUGUGGAUGCAUCCAACCUAUCAUUCAUAUCUGUAACGUGUAACAUUGGGCGUAAGAGAAGUGUACCUAAGCGUGUAUCGGACGUUCAAGAAACGUAUGUUGGCGUAUGCCUGGUGUUUGUCGAACGUAGAUGGAAUGCACGCUACGAAGAAAAAAAGUUUCUAUAAACGUAUUUAAGACGCGUCCCGGUCGUAUCUUGGACGUUCUAUUACGGGGUGUUUUAUGCUGUAUAAAAAUUUCUUUGAGUUGUAGCGUUCACCAAGCGUAUACUUUUGUAUUUCGACGUACCGAAAAAGUAUACAAUGCGCGUUGAACGAUUGCUUAGCGUUCCUCUGGCGUGCAAGUAACGUAUACCGACUUUGUCAAAUUUCUCUAUACGUUUGGUGCAAGCCGGUCUAUACGCCAAUGUGUGACGUCGGCAUUAACUUUCUUCGGACAUGUGAUUUUGAUUUGUAUGUUUUCCUUUUUCAGUUGAUGACACUCCAUAAUUUUGGUUGCAGUCUUGUAUCCCUGUAAACAUUCUGUGGGUUUUUAAAAUGUUUUCUUGUCAUAGAAUCAAUUUUCAAGCUUGGACCAGAUCAAUAGAUAUAGGAAGAUGUGGUGUGAGUGCCAAUGAGACAACUCUCCAUACAAAUAACAAUUUAAAAAGUAAACCAUUAUAGGUUAAAGUGCCUUCAACACGGAGCCUUGGCUCACACCGAACACAACUAUAAAGGGCCCAAAUUACUAUAUUUAACCAUUCAAACGGAAAACAACGGUCUAUCUAUAUAACACGAGAAACAGAAACACGUAUUAUAUUAACAUAAAACGACAACUACUGUACAUCAGAUUCCUGACUUAGGACAGGUGCAAACAUUUGCAGCGGGAUUAAACGUUUUAAUGGAUCCAAACCUUCUUCCUUUUUCUGAAACAAUAGCAUAACAUCACAACAAAGAAAAACAUACGAUAAAUAUCAUUGGCAGACUUAACUCAAUCAAAAACGUAUGAUUAAACAAUGAACGAAUAAUUUGAUCUGCGAUAUCUGAAUACAAAUGCACAGUUAAUUAAAUAUUAGAGACAAACAUUCAUGACCAAAAUGUCCAAUGUCUGUUAUCAUGUUUCAAGAUGUACUGGAUUUCAAAAAUGUUGGAGUUAUUUGACACAGUGAUUAUGAUUCUACGUCAUAGACAGAUAAAUUUUCUUUAUGUGUAUCAUCAUAUUACCAUGAUGUUACUGGCAGAUGCUGGCUACCAUCUUUUUCCAUGGCCAC